rnacentral:lncRNA from 1 species
UUCACAAUCUCUAGGUAGGUCGGACAAUUUCUUCUCCAAUGACCUUCAACAUUAUAAUGAAAAUACUUUUUCUUAUCAUCAACCUUCUUCGAAACCUGCUUCUUGGACUUGGCCUUGUUCUUUUGCUUCUUCAUAGGCUUUUUCUUUUUCUUGAAAGAAAUUUUUUUCUUAGAGGAAGCUCAUUCCACAAUCAGAAUUGUACCCCUUGAACCUUUCAAGGUGCCCUCAGCUGUCACUAACAUGUUCAGCAAUUCAGGCAAAGUGCUAUUAAUUUUAUUCAUAUGAUAGUUUAUAAUGAACUGCUCAUAUAAAUCAGAAAGAGAUUGGAA